GACGAACGCUGGCGGCGUGCUUAACACAUGCAAGUCGAACGAAGUGGCGAACGGGUGAGUAACGCGUAAUCAACCUGCCCUUCAGGGGGGGAAAACAGUUGGAAACGACUGCUAAUACCGCAUACUGAAGGAGGGGAGUGCGUCUGAUUAGCUAGCUGGAGGGGUAACGGCCCACCAAGGCGAAGGUCAGUUGCCGGUCAUGGAGGGUGAACGGGCACAUUGGGACUGAGACACGGGCCAGAAUCCUACGGGAGGCAGCAGUGGGGAAACUUCCGCAAUGGGCGGAAGUCUGACGGAGCAACGCCGCGUGAGUGAUGACAGCCUUCGGGUUGUAAAGCUCUGUUAAUCGGGACGCGGUACCGACAUAGUAAGCCACGGCUAACUACGUGCCAGCCGCCGCGGUAAUAC
rnacentral:rRNA from 1 species